rnacentral:tmRNA from 1 species
CCCCUUUAUGAGGCGGACCAAAGCGCCUAUAUCCAACGUGUCCCCUCGGGGACUAUGGCGAUAAACGCGCGUGUAAUAAGCGGUUCGGACCCGGGGGCGGUACCCGGCGGCUCCACCAAUCAUCCUCCGGUCAUUGGGCGGACUGGUAUGGGGCCGAAACAGGAUCGACGGACGUGUAAAGACGAUGCUUUCGCCCGGCCGAGCUCCGUUAGAAGCUCAUCUCAACAUAGUUGCCAAUGACAACUUUGCUGAAGGUGAACUGAUGGCCGCGUAAGCGGUCGGUAAGUGAACCGAACUUAACUCCUGGGGCUUCAGCGCCUCAGGCGGGGCCCGGAGGCGCCUGGCAACAGAAGCCUCCACC